CCCCGUAGGUCCCCUGCGAAUACGGAUCUGGUGAACGGGAGCCGUCUACACCGCGAUAGACUCGUGGCUUAUCGUCUCUCUCGUCCCGUCGGCCAUGGUACUUUUCCUCUUUCCUCACAAAAGUCUUCCCCAUCUCCACCUUCCUCCGGCGAUCUCUUGCCCAGCCUCGGCCGAGAUGGUGCCCUAAAGGCGUAUGCAUGGCCAUGUGACAAGGCGGUGGCCGUGAGGGAGCCGAGGCGCAGGCCCUACAUGUGCCCAUGGGACUACGGUGCACAUGCCAGGAGGCUGAUUCCUUAGGAGUCCAUGGCAUGAACCUUUGGUUUAUGCUUCAAGAUCCAAAGCAAUCAUGACGUCGGUAUGAACAUAAAUCGCCCAACUUAAAUGUGAUCCGGCAAGGCUUCAAUUAAUUGGCCUGACAGAGGCAGAACUCCGAGUCAAUGAAUUAGGAUUUGCAUGGUGCAUGGUGCUUCUGUUUUCCUCUCUAAUUUUUAUUGGACAUAUAUGUUCUUUGUCUUCUGUCCUUGUGUAUGCCUUGAGUUAAUUGUUCUUUUCCUGGUUUGAAAUAACUAUUGUUCCUGAUGAACUCCGCCGAGCUCUUGUGCAUGCAUGAAGGCGAUGUGGCCGUGAUGAUGUCUGAAGCACUAGCUUGCAUGUACAUAUGCCUCUCGGAAAUCGGAAUUCCUCUCCUCUUCUGAAAGUCCUGCAGAUCUCCGGCGAGCUCUUGCUCAGCCAUGGCCCAGGCGACCGGGAUGGAAUCCACGGCAUAUGCUUCUUCAUGUGACAUGGAGAACGAGAAGGUGUGCUGGACUAUAUAUGUUGUCCUCUGCACCUCCUUUCUUCCGGCGAGCACUGUUCAUGCCCGGCGGGCCGGCUGAGUGGGUGCCCGAGGCAUAGGCCCGUGCAUGUGCCUCUGAGACCACGGCGGGUUCGAGAUGAUUCAACUAUCUUUCUCAUAUCUAACGGAAACUUACGGCUUCAAGAGGCCAGACAGAUGCACAACUCUAGUCGGUGGAUUAGAAGAAGGUGCAAGAUUGUUCUGGUUCAAGAUCUUUGCGUUGUCAAGCCAACUCAGGGAUCUAAGUCUGUUGGCAAAAUGGCAAAUACUCCACUGCUUCCGCUUCCGGAAGCCUGACCGAUGAACAACUAGAUGCUGAGCUAAUAGAUAUGAACCGUGUCAAGGCCACCUGGUGCGUGACCAUGGAUUGAUUGAAGACACGCGUAUCAAGGGGUUAAAGAAACUUCUACAUGGCAUAAACAUACGGAACAAGGUCGCUACUCUCCUGGUAUGAUUUGCCUCGGUCGCUUUGGUCCGGUAAUAGCCAAGAAGUGGCCUCCUUGUUGAUGGCAUCUAGGAGACUAGGAGGAUGUUCGGCGCCGCGUACUUGGGGUGGAAGUUUUGACGGACAUAUUGAGCCACCACUCCUUGACGGAAUGCUUGUCAUUCCAAGAGGAAAUGUCAAAACUCUCGAGCACAAUCCCCAAAGCCUUGGUGAACCGGCACUUGUAAAAAAGGUAGUUCUGGUUGCCAAUUCAGUGCCAACUUUGAAGUUGCAACUUAAGCUCCAAAGGGCGGCUUUAUAGUCGAUCUAUAUGGCAUUAUUGCUAGAUCCAGUGUCAGACACCUACCUCAAUUUUAAGUGAAAGGUACUUCGCUUCUAUAAAUUGCUGAUCCAAGUUGUUGGUACCUACUCAACAUCAUCUUGUUAUACUCUUUCCGUCCCAAAUUACGUCUCCCAUAUUUGUGUAGAUAUGGUUGUAUCUAAUAACAAUAAAAUCUACUUCGACCGUCC